rnacentral:rRNA from 1 species
AUAAUAAGUAACACCUGCUCAAUGAAAUAUUAAAUAGCCGCGGAAAUUUAACCGUGCUAAGGUAGCAUAAUCAUUAGCCCCUUAAUUAGGGGCUCGUAUGAAUGGUGUAACAUUUCAAUUACUCUAUUAACUAUAUUAUUUUAAUUUAAAUUAAGAAUAAAAAUGUUCUUAUUAAACAAUUAGACGACAAGACCCUUUUGAACUUUACUUUUGUUUAGCUGGGGCAGCUAAAAAAUAAUAAUCUUUAUAUCUUAAUAGUUAAAUAAAAGACCCAAUAUAAUUGAUUAUUUGAACAAGUUACCAUAGGGAUAACAGCGUAAUAUUUUUCUAAAGUUCUUAUUUAAAAAAUUGAUUGCGACCUCGAUGUUGAAUUAAUGUAACUUUAUAAAUGCAGUAAUUUUAAAAGUAGGUCUGUUCGACCUUUAAAUCAUUACGUGAUC